UGCGUAGGCGGAUUAAUAAGUCAGUGGUGAAAUCUUUCGGCUCAACCGAGAAACUGCCAUUGAUACUGUUAAUCUUGAGUUCGGUUGAGGUAGGCGGAAUGUGUAAUGUAGCGGUGAAAUGCUUAGAUAUUACACAGAACACCAAUUGCGUAGGCAGCUUACUAGACCGAAACUGACGCUGAGGCACGAAAGCGUGGGUAGCGAACAGGAUUAGAUACCCUGGUAGUCC
rnacentral:rRNA from 1 species